AAGGAAGAAGGGGAAGUCCGGGAGUGAAAAGGGUCAGUGGCAGCUGCUUGCCAGCAGGUGGCGCUCGAAUGCCGCAGGCUGAGCAUCAUGCGCUGGUUGCUGCAUGCGUGCUAAAUUAGUACUGACGUGUUCAUCCGCGUGGUAUAUAGAGGUGAAUUAAGAUCAACCAGAUCCCUUCAGCGGAGAGCAAGAUCAGCCUUGAAAGGGUUGGAUAUGGGGUGAAGAUUUAAGCCAAACCACAAUUAAUCCAAUUAAUAAUACUUUUAUUCUAGCAUCGGCCCUUGAGGCUUAGCAGGCAGAAAUUUAGAAGCCAGAGCUUCUCAUUCUCCCCGUCCCUGUGCAUAAAAAUGCAAUGAUGGGGAAAGAUGGUUGCAUUUUUGCCCUUUCUUAUGCGCUAAAGCCAACCAAGGCUGCUCAGUUCCGUUGUGACAUCAGACCAGGACGGCUGUCUGCUACCGAUUAACACUGAUAGCUGUGAACAUGUUAGUACAAAGUAUGGGAAAAAUACUGUGCUCUGCGCACGUGAGCCUCACUCUUGAAUACAGUGGUACCUCAGGUUAAGUACUUAAUUUGUUCCGGAGGUCCGUUUUUAACCUGAAACUGUUCUUAACCUGAAGCACCACUUUAGCUAAUGGGGCCUCCUGCUGCUGCUGCGCCGCCGGAGCCCGAUUUCUGUUCUCAUCCUGAAGCAAAGUUCUUAUCCUGAAGCACUAUUUCUGGGUUAGCAGGGUCUUUAACCUGAAGCGUAUGUAACCUGAAGCGUAUGUAACCUGAAGUACCACUGUACCUGCAGCGAACUCCCACAAACCUGGGACUAGGAAGCAGGCUUCCAGACAGAUGGAGUUAGGCAUAAUUUCUAGACAGAGUUCACUCCCAGAUCUUUCUUUUUUUUUUAAUUCACUAUUUACCUGUCUCUUCCAUAAUCCCCUUGUAUACAUAUCAAUACACUUUAAAAGACACUCAAAACACAUUAUUUACUUCUAAUUCCUUUUGAAAGACCUUCAAUGUUUUCAAAUUUGACUGAGGGACGCUGUCUCUUUUUGCGGCAAUAUUAAAAUGUACAGCUUUUGUGAUGGCAUUAAUGUUAAACAAUAACUUUCCAUUUGUUUCAUUUAUUUGUUUAAAGUUAAACCAUGUGUUUAAACUUGUGUAAAACACAAAGGGCUCCCUGGAUCACAUGUACUGCGCGCCAUAUAAAAGUAUUCUUUACAAACAGUGAUAGCACACAGGAGAGUUAAAAUAAUCGAAAAGUACCAAGUACCAAUCCAAAUCUCACAUUCUCACCAUUGUUUCCAAAUCAGGUGAUCACCCUGGAAAAACAUGGCAGUUGUCUGAAUAUAUUUAAGCCUUAAGUUCUAAAAGGCUUCUGCAAAUAACACUGUCCUAUAAGUGAGUCCUGCAACAAAAUGUUGCAGUGUGUAGUGCACCCUAUUCAAAAUCCCACUCAGUCCAUUCUGUCUCUGCUCCCUAGCUGUCCAUUCUGUCCCCCCUCCCUGCCCUCAACAGUCAGUCAGCAUUCCUUGACCAGAAGGCAUAUUCAGUUCUCUAUGGGCCGGUUUACUCCUAGCUUCCCCCAAGCCUGCUGAUAUCUCCCUCUUUUGGAGCCAUUUGACUACACCAGGCAAAGGCAAACUCGGUCCUCCAGAUGUUUUGGGACUACAAUUCCCAUCAUCCCUGACCACUAGUCCUGUUAGCUAGGGAUCAUGGGAGUUGUAGUCCCAAAACAUCUGGAGGGCCAAGUUUGCCUAUGCCUGGACUAGACACACAGCAUCACUCACAACCUGAUCAGAAUCGGAAGGAAUCUGUAGUCUAAAAAGAAGGUAGCAGACUUUUUCAAAACAGGGCAUUACAGUAUGCCUAUUAGAACUUGCCAAAUCCAUUACAUAUGCUUAUUGGCUUAAACCCAGAGAACAUUAGUCAUGCUUUUGAUUAAGCCCCACAUAUCAGUGGCGCUUAAUUGCGACUACAUUUCUUUGGAAUAAAGGAGGCUUUGUAAGAUUCAGGCUGCAUCGCUAGUUAGGAAUCCCGACCUAUUCCUAACCUUAGGGCACCUUACCGGUUUUGACAGCCCUCUUAGAUACUAUUUUUGAAGGCUACGGGGGGGGAGGGGCAUGAUUUCGAUAAAAUUGGGAAGGAGAUCAAGGGAACUUGUAGAUUUCAUUAGGCACCCCACAUUUCCUCCCGCCACAUAAUUUGAGCAUUGAUAUAAAUUUGAUUAUUUGCAAGCAGAUUAAAUUUGGAAGAAUUUGCAUGAGCAUCUACCAUUGCUAGCACGCACGCACGCACACACACAUCCCAGUUUCUUUCUGCUCUACACAGGGUGUCUUCCAUUUGUUGGAAAGACCUGCUAGCACAAUUCAUUGAGGGUGUUUCCAGAUGACCUGUUUAUUGGAAUUCACCUUGAUUUGUUUGCAGGAAGAUUUGACUACACUGGCUUUUUAAUGAGCAUUUAUUCUGAUUGUUUGCACUUUGCAGGGAAGUCAAGAGGUCAAAGCAAGUGUUGUCUCGCAUCUUCUAGUGCAUCUUCCAGUCACUUUCCUUGUUGCAAAAAGCCCAAUCCUUUGGGGGAAGCAUGACCUCCCAAUCAACUGUGAAAUUUGAAUUUGCCCAUCUUGUCACUAAAUCCCACCCUGAAAAUAGUGACAGUCUUGGAGAGAGCAUAAUUAUUUAUUCCAAUAUUGAAAUGAAGAUUCGUGCUAAGCUGGAGAGGAAAUUAGUACCCUCAAAACAAAGACUAGGUCACAGAAAGAAAGAAAGAAAGAAAGAAAGAAAGAAAGAAAGAAAGGUGAGGAACCGGUCUGGCAAGUGGCUGAGCCAAAGCCUAGUUUCACUAAUCCUUCAGAAGGAAAUAAUAGAUUCAAAAGGACAAUAGUCCAAGCAGGCAGGCAAGAGCUGGAAGCCUUAACUCUUUACUGGCAAAGAGGAGCAGAAAAAUGGAUGUAAAGAGAAAUGUCCACUCCACUAGCAGCAACUUAGACCAAGAAUAUCUACCAGUCAGGAGGACCAAACCCAUGAAAAGAGAGUUUUUAAAG